rnacentral:lncRNA from 13 species
AAAUCUAUGAGGACAGGUGGCCAUAGCUAAAGCAGCUUCCAGUAGAGCUCUAUUGCCCAACCACCAGAAGACCUGGACUUCCAGAAGAAAAGGUGAUGCUUGUGAUUCUCCCAAGUCCUGCAGAGAAGCCGACCUGGCAAUGAUAAUGGCACAACAGCUACAGCCACCAGCAGUGCCUUCUACUGUGCCUCUGUAGUCAGGAGUUUCCCACUCCAGCUGCAGGCCUUGGUGAAGAAGGACAAGAGCCAAAAGAGCUGAAUAAUCUCAAAUCUUACAUAGAAUGGGGAGUAUCUCCCUCAUUAAAGUGCACAAAAUAAACAAGCAUUUAAGCAAAGAAGUUUGUGUAUUCACAGCAAAGAGAAGAGCAAGUACAAGAACCAAGAGACGGGACAGAGUGUGGUAUGCUCGAACAAACAGCAAGGCAGCCAGUGAUGGAUGGGAGAACAGCAGGAAGUGAGGCCGGUGGGGUUGCCAGAAGGCUUGGUAAGGGCUUCCUGGAACUUUAUUCCACAUAAUGCGAAGCUAUGAAGUGCUGAGAGCGAGCCUGAUUUACAUUAGGACCACUCUGGGAGCUGGAGGUAUGUGCAGAUCAGAGUCUAGGUGGAAAUAGUGGAGGCAAGGAGGCAAAUUAGAACAUCAGCUAAGGCAAGAGAUGGUUAUUAAGUUGGAGGAGGAUGGCAGGGGCAGAUAAAGGAGAAGUGGCUGGAUUCAGAAUAUGCUUUGAAUGUGAAGAUGACAGAUUUGCCAACUGUGAGAUUAAAUGUGCAGACUGACAAAAAAUGUUCUUAUUUAUGAUAUUUCACAGAAAUUGUGAGAACUCUGUUUGCAACAUUUUAGUACAGCAACAAAUUAAGUAGUACACAGCUAUAUUGAAAGAAAACAACUAAAGUUUUAAUAACUCUCACCUAAACUAGAGAGAAAAACGAAAAAACAAAUAGUACAUCUAAGUAGAUAUAAUUCAUUUAGAUAAAAUAUAUCUAAAAGGAUGUGAUAUAUUUAGACAUACCUAAACAGAUAUGAUACAUUUAAUUACACCUAAAUUGUUUUCUUAUAUCUAAUGCUCUUGGACAUAGCAUUAGCAUAGUAGGUUUAUUAAGGAUGUUAAAAGCACAGAAAACAUUUUUUUUCAUACUUUGCCAUUUAUUUACCAUUCGUUUACUACUUAACUUUCUCAGUUUUAGAGAAUAAAAUAAUUUCAAUGCA